rnacentral:rRNA from 1 species
GACGAACGCUGGCGGCAUGCCUAACACAUGCAAGUCGAGCGCCCUUUCGGGGGAGUUGCGGACGGGUGAGUAGCGCGGGGGAAUAUGCCCUUCUCUACGGAAUAGCCUUGGGAAACUGAGAGUAAUACCGUAUACGCGCUGUGGGGGAAAGAUUUAUCGGGAAAGGAUUAGCGCGCGUUGGAUUAGGGGGUUUGGGGGGUAAUGUCAUACCAAGCCGACGAUCCUUAGCUGUUUUGAGAGAAUGAUCAGCCACACUGGGACUGAGACACGGCCCAGACUCCUACGGGAGGCAGCAGUGGGGAAUCUUAGACAAUGGGGGCAGCCCUGAUCUAGCCAUGCCGCGUGAGUGAUGAAGGCCUUAGGGUUGUAAAGCUCUUUCAGCUGGGAAGAUAAUGACGGUACCAGCAGAAGAAGCCCCGGCUAACUCCGUG